UGGGGAAUAUUGGACAAUGGGGGGAACCCUGAUCCAGCCAUGCCGCGUGUGUGAAGAAGGCCUUAUGGUUGUAAAGCACUUUAAGCGAGGAGGAGGGUACUGGUAUUAAUACUACCAGCUACUGGACGUUACUCGCAGAAUAAGCACCGGCUAACUCUGUGCCAGCAGCCGCGGUAAUACAGAGGGUGCGAGCGUUAAUCGGAUUUACUGGGCGUAAAGCGUGCGUAGGCGGCUAAUUGAGUCGGAUGUGAAAUCCCCGAGCUUAACUUGGGAAUUGCAUUCGAUACUGGUUAGCUAGAGUGUGGGAGAGGAUGGUAGAAUUCCAGGUGUAGCGGUGAAAUGCGUAGAGAUCUGGAGGAAUACCGAUGGCGAAGUCAGCCAUCUGGCCUAACACUGACGCUGAGGUACGAAAGCAUGGGGAGCAAACAGG
rnacentral:rRNA from 1 species